GUUAAAAAAAACCCUGUCCUCUUUAGCGUUAAUGGGGUUUCAAUAAAGAAACCUAAUCUUUGUGAAAAGUGUAUUAUUUGGUGAGAAACCAGGUUUAUGUGAAUCUGGAGGAGUGUGUUGGAUUAUCAUCUAACAAUGGCACAGUUUUAGUCUCCUGGAAAAAUAGUGCAAAGCUUUGCUCUAAAAUAUACUGAUUUCUUUGAUACUCUGACCUAAAGAGGCUUCCAGAUACUCCGAAAGACCAAAUGCUCUGAUGUAUAAUCUCAUUUGCAAUCCUCCUCCCCUAGUAGAGGUUGAGCUAGUACAGGGUUCCACCUCAUAACCAGUAACAGUCUAUUUCAGCACUUAAUCAGAACUACUGUAUGUUCCACUGUUUAAUAUGAGACAUUUGUGUUUGAGUCUCUGCAUUCUGACAGUACAAUGGCUUUUGACUGGAUGUCAGCAGAUCAUACAAGUCCAUCAGGAACCAGAGGACCUGGUUCUUUCCCCUGGAUCAUCACUGAAGAUCUCCUGCUCUAUAACCGGAAUAAGUAAUCCAAAUCUCUACUGGUACCACUGGAAUGAAUCAACAGAGUUCACACUGGUGUUCACCUCACUGGGUACUGGGGUGAUGGAUCCAGCCAGUAAUGGUCAGUUUAAAUCUCACAGACCUAAAGAUCUUCAGAUGGUUCUGGAGUCUGAAGCAGUGAGUGAGAUCGGCUCAGCAGUGUGGUACUGUGCAGCCAGACGCCACAGUAUCCCAGUCUCAUCAGAGAGCUGUACAAAAACCACAACUGUUCAGUAGGCCUAGGAC